GUCCCAGACGAGUCCUAAAUAGGACGGAACACGCGUCCUGGAU
rnacentral:hammerhead_ribozyme from 1 species